rnacentral:rRNA from 1 species
AUGUGUGCACCUGAUCUUUGUGUCCUCAAGAGUGCUGUGUCAGGUUAUAAAGGUUAUAACUUGGGGGCAAUAGUUGAACGUAGGUUGCAGAAUAAUAGUAGAAGGGGAGAUUUCUUUGGAGGAAUUUAUGCAACCCGUGUGGCUAAUUUUCUUAAUAUAGCUCCACGAGAGGGGGAUAUGAUUGUACCUCCUAUUUAUUUGGAUAAAGAAGCUAUGUUUGAUCAUCAUUUUCUUGAGAGGAAUGAACAAUUCCUCCAUUAUCGACUAAUCUAUGACAGACGCAACAUCGUCCCUGUUACUCUUCCAGCUCCAACCUUUUUGAUUAUCAGGCAAAAGGAAGAUAUGCUGUCACCAGGGAAGAAGCAACUGAAUAUGAGAGGGGAAUGGAGGUAG